UAACAAGAGAUGGGGUGUGCAGGAGGCGUUUCUGGGUAUAGAAAGCACACAAUGGGCCCGGGUGGAGCUGAUGCCCAAAUCCAAACUCGUAAGAUAGGGAAAAGGUCAUGUUCAAACUCAAACACAUUCAGAAUUAGAACAUCUCCUCUCAAACUUCUUGACCUGAGAACCACCACCUUCGUCGCACCAAAAAUCACCUCUGGCAGAGGGCCAAACCACUGAAACCUUACAUCAAUGCACUCGUCUCUUCACCUUCUUCCUCAAUCCAUCAUCAAUUUCAAAUAAUUCCUAAUAAAACAUCCUAACUGGACUUAUUUACUUAUGAACCCUAAAUAUCAAAGUUCAAAUUAAAUCCUCCCAAGGGGGAAUCAAAGUUCAAUUGGUUGGGGUUUUGAUUCCCCAAGCCCUAAGCUACAUCUUGGUAACCGAACCACAUCGAAACAAGCAAAAAUUCCUUACCUCUGAAGAUGAGGAUGAAGAUCGGGGAUGAGCUAGUUCUGGAGCACGGCAAGAUGAAGAUGAUUCUGAAUGAUUUUGCAGGAUGAUGCACACAUGAUGAUUGGACAAAGGCAUACAAAGUGACUUGCAUUUGAAGUAACAUGGUGAAGGCAACAUCAAAGACAUGUGGAGCUUUGAAGAUUCAAACAAAAAGAUGACUUUUGGAAAAGUAAAAAUAGGAAUUAUGGUUAGGAUAUGUAAAAUUAGUCCGUUGUUGACCAAAAAGUCAACAGUUGAUCAAAAGUCAACUUAGGCAAAAAUGUAUUUUUUUUGUUUUGUAUAGUUUGAUUCGUAAGAACUUGUGAUGAAUGAAUUGUUUUUGAAAUGCAAAACUCCCUUUUGAAUGCAAAA